rnacentral:rRNA from 1 species
GACGAACGCUGGCGGCGCGCCUAACACAUGCAAGUCGAACGAGCGAGCGAGAGCUUGCUUUCUCGAGCGAGUGGCGAACGGGUGAGUAACGCGUGAGGAACCUGCCUCAAAGAGGGGGACAACAGUUGGAAACGACUGCUAAUACCGCAUAAGCCCACGGCUCGGCAUCGAGCAGGGGGAAAAGGAGCAAUCCGCUUUGAGAUGGCCUCGCGUCCGAUUAGCUAGUUGGUGAGGUAACGGCCCACCAAGGCGACGAUCGGUAGCCGGACUGAGAGGUUGAACGGCCACAUUGGGACUGAGACACGGCCCAGACUCCUACGGGAGGCAGCAGUGGGGAAUAUUGCACAAUGGGGGAAACCCUGAUGCAGCGACGCCGCGUGGAGGAAGAAGGUCUUCGGAUUGUAAACUCCUGUUGUUGGGGAAGAUAAUGACGGUACCCAACAAGGAAGUGACGGCUAACUACGUG